rnacentral:rRNA from 1 species
UACGGAGGGUGCUAGCGUUGUUCGGAAUCACUGGGCGUAAAGCGCGCGCAGGCGGACACGCGCAUCGGCGGUGAAAGCCCCCCGCUCAACGGGGGAGGGUCCGUCGAGAUGGCGUGUCUGGAGGCAGGGAGAGGCCAGUGGAAUUCCGGGUGUAGUGGUGAAAUGCGUAGAGAUCCGGAGGAACACCAGUGGCGAAGGCGGCUGGCUGGACCUGACCUGACGCUGAGGCGCGAAGGCGUGGGGAGCGAACGGG